UUUAAUUUUUUUAGUAAAUAUUCACAACUAUAUCUUUUAUAUAAUAAUAUAUUUUUUAAAUAAUAAUAUCUUUUAUAUAGACAUGCUUUAAUAGAUCUAAUAAAUGAUUAACGCGGCCCUACCAAUAUGGGUAUAUUAAUACUUAAAUCUGGGUAUUUUAAAUUUCGAAUGCGCAUUUUUAAAAAACCGAACUUAUCUAUAGAUCUCUUAUAUCUAUUACCGAUAUUUUUUAAAAAAUAACUCAACAGAUCUAAUAAAGUCAUGAUUUCCACUCUAUUUUCUCUAGAUCUAGACCAUACAUGAGAUCUAAAUCUAGACUUCACUUUCACAUCACAUGAUUAUUGAUACAGACAGUGAAUGAAACGAAUGCAGUGAUUAUAUUAUAGUUUAUACUGACUUAUAGCUCUACCAGUUGAUUAUCAUCAUCUCAGGUCAUCUCGAAUAAUAAUCUAGAUUAGUAUGUCAAUGUCUCUAUUAAAAUAAUUAAUAUCAUCAGCCAUAUAUCAUUUUAAAUAUUAAAAUAGUAGACAUAGAUUUCUAUAUUAUAAAUAGAUAGAUUAGAUCUAUAAAAUAUAAUUUUACAAACUUUAGAAAUGAUUGAUUUUAUUUUUAAUUGAUCAGCCUUCUAGACUAGAUAAUCUAGCAUCUCUAGCUAGACUCUAACCUGUAGUUUGUAGAUCUUGGAAUUGGAUCGAAAUUCACCUUCUAAAUUGUCUCCUCUGUAGCUGAUUUGAGAGGCCCAACGAGGCAAGAGUCUAUUACUAUUAGUACUCUGUCUCUUGAUCUAUCUAGUAGGCCUAUCUUAGCUAGUGCAUUAGCCUUAGCCAUAGUGUAGUCAAAUCUUGACAACUAGUCUUCUAGAUCUAAGCUUCUAGAAUAAUUAGAUCUAGAUCCAGUUUAGAUUUAGAAUAUAAAAGUAUUUUACUAGCUAAAAUACUAAAUCUACUGAUCUAAAUUCUAGAUAGAUAUACAAUAUAUAGAUCCAGUUUAGAUUUGGAAUAUAAAAAUAUUUACUAGCUAAAAUUCUAAAUCUACUGAUCUAUACUUAAUAUUUUAGAUAUUAUAUGACAUCUACAAAAAUUAUUAUUAAGAUAUAAUUAUAGAAUCUAGACUAGUUAUUUAUGUACAUAAAAUAUAUAAAUAAAAGAUAAAAUUUAUGCAGGCCUAGAUCCCAUAAAUUUAUAAUUGAUCCAGAUCUAUCAGUAAAAGUUACCUUCGAUGGGAAGUUUUACCCAAUCUAAUCUAUACAAUCCAUGCCUCGCCUACACCCCAUACAUUAAAUAAUAGUUCCCAUUCCAUGCCAUGCCCAGACCCAUGAGUUCAUGAAAUAAUAAAUGAUGUGGUGUCAAGUUGGAUCUAUCCCCUGAAAUUCAGCACUUUAAUAUAAAACUCUCAUAUCUAGUUAAUUAUUUGCUAUGACACUCUGAUCAACUUGGACUUGUGUGAUACAUAUAUGUUUCUUAUCAGAUUUAAUGAAUGAAGUUUUGGUGCAUUUUAAGGAUACAAAAGUAUCAUCAGGUGCAUUCUAACCAUUGGUAUUUUUCCUGGCAACAUUUCUAUUCUAGUCUGUGAUAAAUUAUAAAUUUAAAAAAAUGUUUGUAAUGUUUCAGUUAUUAACAAGUAGAACCAUGCCAACCAGUUCUGAUGAUGUACCAGAAUGGCUCAAGGAUCAUACUUAUACUAUUUCUACUCUCUGGGCAGACAUUAAUAAUAUUGGCAUCCAUUCAAUAUUUAUUUUAUGUUUGGAAAUGCAAGAAAAAGGCAUGCAUUCCUGACAAGUCAAUGAUUGGUUGCACCUCUUAAAGAUAACUUUCUGUUAUGAGAAAAGAUGAGAUUCUUGGACUCCUGCAUAGCACCACCAGAAAGGAAAAUCCCAUCAUGUUGCAAAAUAAAAGUCUUGGACCAAUUUUAAUUAAGAUAUAUAUAUUAUACUGUAAGCUCUAUACAUAUUUAUGUAUAUCCUGUCAUUCAGCCAACAGGUUUGGAUUUAGUAUUUCUUUAAAUCUGUUUGAUAUUGUACUUGAAAACUAUUAAUCUGAGCCCCAUUAAAACAAUUAGGAGUGCAGUGAAUGAGUGGUAAAGCACUUGGCUUCUGAACUGAGGGUUCCUGGGUUCAAUUAAGACUGGGGUUUUCAAUUUCAGAAUUCAAAAGGCUAGGGAUACAUGGCAAUAGUAAGGAAUAAGUAAAGGCAGUUUGGGGAUCCAUGGCUGAAUGGUUAAGUCAUGGGUUUGAAUCUCUGUGAAGACUCGGGUUAAAAUUUUUUUAGAUUUUUGGGUGCCCCUGAGUCCACCUAACUCUAAUGGGUAGCUGACUUUUGUUUUGGAAAGUAAAGAUGGUUGGUUGUUGUGCUGGCCACAUGAUGCACUGGUCAAAGAAUCAAAUGACCUUAACAUCAUCUGCCCUAUAGAUUGUGACGUCUGAAAUGGGAUUUUUUUUCAAAAGGUGGUUGGUUGUUGUGCUGGGUACAUGACACCCUCGCUAACCAUGGGGCACAGAAACUGAUAAACUUUAUAUAGAUUGCAAGAUAUGUAAGGGAAAUUUUACUUUUUUAAAAUUAAAAUAAGAAUCUAUCAAAAGUAAACAUAAAAUAUGGUGCAUUCUCCUUAAAACUAAAACCUGGUGCGAAGGUUUAAAAUGUUGGCUAAAAAAGCAACAUCAUAUAUUCUUAAUUCCCUUUGCAAAACUUACUGAGAAGAACAUGCAUGUUGUUCCCUCAUAAUUUUCUUGACAGAGGAAAUCUUGUUUAUAUUAGAUUUGAAUUAAGCAAAUUAAGAAAAAAAUUAUAAUUAUUAUUUCCAAUGGUUGUAUCUAAACCUUAUGAAUUAUUUUUCCGUUAUAAGUAUAUUGAGAUUAAUGGAUAAUCAUGAAAUUGUAAAAUAAUUGCUGCUAUCAUUCCAUUGACUAAAGAACCAUAAUUUAUUUUUUUUUAAAUUAAUUUCAAAAUGAUUUUUUUCAAGCAUAGAGUUCACAUAGAUCUUGAGUGAAUUUUUUUUUUUAUUUGACUAAUGCUUCAAUUUUAUUGUAUCAUAUUAGUUGUUAAUUUUUAUUACCCAGAAUAUUUAAAAAAUGAGUACACUAUUUUCAUGUAAUAAUUAACUUGGUAUUCACACAAUGCUCAAAAUACACCAUAAUCUUUAGGCCAUACAGAUUUGUAUAAAUUAACUUGUUUAAAUACAUUGUAAAUGUAUACUGUAUGGAUAAGAAUAAAGUUUUUCUGUAGACAA